UACGGAGGGUGCGAGCGUUGUCCGGAAUCACUGGGCGUAAAGGGUGCGCAGGCGGCCAGGUGUGUGGGGCGUGAAAGCCCGGGGCUCAACCCCGGAAUUGCACCUCAAACUACAUGGCUAGAGUACUGGAGAGGGAGACGGAAUUCACGGUGUAGCAGUGAAAUGCGUAGAGAUGCGGAGGAACACCGAUGGCGAAGGCAGCCCCCCUGGGCUGACACUGACGCUCAGGCACGAAAGCGUGGGGAGCAAACAGG
rnacentral:rRNA from 1 species